GGGGAUGUAGCUCAGUGGUAGAGCAUGUGCUUCGCAUGUACAAGGUCCUGGGAUCAAUCCCCAGCGUCUCCA
rnacentral:tRNA from 1 species